rnacentral:rRNA from 1 species
UACGUAGGGUGCAAGCGUUGUCCGGAAUUAUUGGGCGUAAAGAGCUCGUAGGCGGUUUGUCGCGUCGAAUGUGAAAUCCCGGGGCUCAACCCCGGGCCUGCAUUCGAUACGGGCAGACUAGAGUUCGGUAGGGGAGUCUGGAAUUCCUGGUGUAGCGGUGAAAUGCGCAGAUAUCAGGAGGAACACCGGUGGCGAAGGCGGGACUCUGGGCCGAUACUGACGCUGAGGAGCGAAAGCCAGGGGAGCGAACGGG